rnacentral:rRNA from 1 species
GUGCUUAACACAUGCAAGUCGAACGAUGAAGCUACAGCUUGCUGUGGUGGAUUAGUGGCGAACGGGUGAGUAAUACGUGAGUAACCUGCCCUUGUCUUUGGGAUAAGCCUGGGAAACUGGGUCUAAUACCGGAUAUUCUGCUUUCAUCGCAUGGUGGGGGUUGGAAAGGGUUUCUGGAUAGGGAUGGGCUCACGGCCUAUCAGCUUGUUGGUGGGGUGAUGGCCUACCAAGGCGUCGACGGGUAGCCGGCCUGAGAGGGUGACCGGCCACAUUGGGACUGAGAUACGGCCCAGACUCCUACGGGAGGCAGCAGUGGGGAAUAUUGCACAAUGGACGCAAGUCUGAUGCAGCGACGCCCGCGUGGGGGAUGAAGGCUUUCGGGUUGUAAACUCCUUUCAGUCAGAACAAGGCCUUUUUGGUUGAGGGUAUGUGCAGAAGAAGCGCCCGGCUAACUACGUGCCAGCAGCCGCGGUAAUACGUAGGGCGCCG